ACCUGGCGACAGGGCGCGGAACCCGAAAACCUAGUCUCAGUUCGGAUUGGAGUCUGCAACCCGACUCCAUGAAGCUGGAUUCGCUAGUAAUCGCGCAUCAGCCACGGCGCGGUGAAUACGUUCCCGGGCCUUGUACACACCGCCCGUCAAGCCAUGGAAGCCGGGAGUGCCUGAAGUGCGUGACCGCAAGGAGCGUCCUAAGGCAAUACCGGUGACUGGGGCUAAGUCGUAACAAGGUACC
rnacentral:rRNA from 1 species